AGAGUUUGAUCCUGGCUCAGGAUGAACGCUAGCGGCAGGCUUAAUACAUGCAAGUCGAACGGCAGCGGGUCCAGCAAUGGAUGCCGGCGAGUGGCGCACGGGUGCGUAACACGUAUGCAACCUACCUUUAACCGGGACAUAACCUCGAGAAAUCGUGGCUAAUAUUCCAUAAUAUCUUUGAAUCGCAUGGUUUGAAGAUCAAAAUUCCGAUGGUUUUAGAUGGGCAUGCGCGACAUUAGCUAGUUGGUGAGGUAAUGGCUCACCAAGGCUACGAUGUUUAGGGGGUCUGAGAGGAUGAUCCCCCACACUGGUACUGAGACACGGACCAGACUCCUACGGGAGGCAGCAGUAAGGAAUAUUGGGCAAUGGGCGCAAGCCUGACCCAGCCAUGCCGCGUGCAGGAUGACAGCCCUACGGGUUGUAAACUGCUUUUAUACGGGAAAAAACCCUCUGACGUGUCAGAGGCUGAUGGUACCGUAAGAAUAAGCAUCGGCUAACUCCGUGCCAGCAGCCGCGGUAAUACGGAGGAUCCGAGCGUUAUCCGGAAUUAUUGGGUUUAAAGGGUGCGUAGGCGGCCAUUUAAGUCAGCGGUGAAAUUUUGCAGCUUAACUGUAACAGUGCCGUUGAUACUGUUUGGCUAGGAUUUGGUUGUAGUGUGCGGAAUGUGUGGUGUAGCGGUGAAAUGCUUAGAUAUCACACAGAACACCGAUUGCGAAGGCAGCACACUAAGUCAUUAUUGACGCUGAGGCACGAAAGUGUGGGGAUCAAACAGGAUUAGAUACCCUGGUAGUCCACACUGUAAACGAUGAUAACUCGCUGUCGGCGAUACACAGUCGGUGGCCAAGCGAAAGCAUUAAGUUAUCCACCUGGGGAGUACGACCGCAAGGUUGAAACCCAAAGGAAUUGACGGGGGCCUGCACAAGCGGUGGAGCAUGUGGUUUAAUUCGAUGAUACGCGAGAAACCUUACCAGGACUUGACAUGGACAGGAAUGGUCGUGAAAGCGAUCAGCUUUUCGGAGUCUGUUCACAGGUGCUGCAUGGCUGUCGUCAGCUCGUGCUGUGAAGUGUUGGGUUAAGUCCCGCAACGAGCGCAACCCCCGCUGUCUGUUGCUACCAAGUGAAGUUGGGCACUCAGACGGGACCGCCGGUGACAAACCGGAGGAAGGUGGGGAGGACGUCAAAUCAUCAUGCCCCUUAUGACCUGGGCUACACACGUGCUACAAUGGAUGGUACAACGAGGAGCGAACUCGCAAGGGCAAGCGAAUCUCUUAAAGCCAUUCUCAGUUCGGAUUGUUCUCUGCAACUCGAGAGCAUGAAGCCGGAAUCGCUAGUAAUCGCGGAUCAGCACGCCGCGGUGAAUACGUUCCCGGGUCUUGUACUCACCGCCCGUCA
rnacentral:rRNA from 1 species